rnacentral:lncRNA from 1 species
CUUUUCCCACAUUUUUCAGCUCUUGCCAGGGGCACAAAUAUUUCAGGAAGAUUUGAGAGCUUUAGAAAAGUGUCCUUCAGUUUUUUGUGUGUGUUAGUGUUUACUUUUUAUAACCUGGCAUUAAAUAUGGUUUAUCUUGAUUCUUGUUUGUGUGUGUGUGUGUGUGUGUGUGUGUCUGUGUGUGUGUGUGUUUGAGCCAAAUCAGAGUACUUUAUCUCCUUCACUCUGGUCCUGGCCCAGAAAAAGUUGUUGAAAAAAGAUACUUACAAAGACAACAAACAAUCUUUCCAGAAUAUUGUCAAACAAUAGGCCAAUUAACUAAACAAAGUAGAUAUUGAAAAUAGUGAAAAAGUUCCUUUGGAGUUUUCCAUAAAACUUGAACAAACUUUUUGGCCAACCUAAUAUUACAUGUCUAAGUACACUGGACAUCCAGUAAGUGGACUUCCUCACUAAUUUAUAGACAAAGCCCACAGUAACCACUGUGGCUAGGUGCUGAUUAUAAGAGAGACAGCAAAACCUUUUAAAUUGGUCACUUCCUUCAGCUGAUCUUGCCUCACAGAAGUUGGAGUUUUUCCUCUUAUACGAGUAUAGUACUACAUUCUUCUGUUUGCAAUGGAGAGUCAGGUGGUAUAUGCUGAUUUAAACUUACCCAGGGAUUCUGGCAUUGGAAGGUCAUCACCUCCAUCUCGUCUUCAGAAUCUUCGUCAUGGUCCACGUUGGCACAACUUUGCCCUGAAAUUUGGUUGUGCUGUGAUUAUACUUCUUGCCUUGACUGUGACUGGGUUGAGUAUUUCAGUGAUACUCAUAAGACAAAAUACAUCAAUAGAAAAAACCAGCAUGGAUGCUCAAGAGAACAGGAAGGAAGCAACAGAUUACCCAUUUCUGGUGAUGUUAAAGAAGACGGCUGUGUUUGCCUAUCAAGGACACAACUUAUUUCUGAUUACUGUGCUGUAAAAUAUAGAGGGAUCUGCCAAAAAGAACUAAACCUGUCAGAAGUAAAGUCAUAUGUUCCUCCAAUUGACUAGAUAUCUGCCAGGAGCCAGUGUGAGGAAUCCCACCCAUGACAAGGUCAUGUGGCAGAGGCCUGAUGGGCAAGGCGAAUCAGGCCUCAGGUUUUCCCCCUGGUAUUUCCUGAGCACGUACCCCCCCAAAAUAAGAAUACGCCUGCCUUAUUGUAUUGUGCUUUUCUACUUUUCUGACACUCUCUGGAAAAAGUUAAUUCAGGGCUUCAGUCUCCUGCAAAAGAAUGUCUGGGCUUAAAACCCCCUCUGAUAACUCUCUAGCUUGCCUAACAGGUUCCCCCGGAAUUUUUACAGCUUGUGAAUUGCUUACAGUCUCCCAACCGCCAGAGGCACAGGAAGCUUAAAACAUCCUAGAAAUGCAGGGGCUUUCGAGAUGUCAAGAUCAUUAGAAUAAAACUGAUUAAGCGCUUCAUUGUUGAGCCAAUACUGCUGCCAAAUUUUCAUAUCUUUUAUUUGUUGAUAUAGUUGGUAUAUAGAAAAAAACAAGUAGCAACAUUAGAUCUUUGAGUUAAGUACCUUCUUUGUUAUAACCCACUGCACCUUUGUUCUAUAGACAUGUAACUUUAGUGCUUUAAGGAGAUGCAGAUUAAAGAAAAACACUUCAGGGGAAACGAGAUCAACAUUCAUUAAGGAAGAGAGCCAAAAAUUGUUAACAAGCCUCUUGGCCAGUAGAUAAUGUAAAUCACCUGAGACCUUUUGUAUACAAAAAGAUAUUCAGAAAGGGUCAGGACUGCUGCCCCUGCAUGACUCUGUAUCUUCCAUUAGGUAAAAUUUAGGGUAUAUAAACACCUUUUGAAUAAUAAAGUUGGAGGGGGUUUUUGCACAAGCCUGGCCUCUCCCGUGUCAAUUCUUUCUCUUGCUCCCUCUCCCUCCCUCUCCUUUUCAGGCCAAUCCCUUGGAACGUGGAGGCUUACCGAGUCUACUUACUUGCCCGGGCUUCUGAGACCCAUUCAAGAGGGAGCCCAAGGUGGGGCACCCUCUGCUAUUUAAGCGGGAGCCUGUGGCCCAGCGUAGAUGGUGCAAGUUCCUUGUCUGAAACUUUAUUGGUUUUCCACAUAAACCAAGCUAAUCAGCCUCUUUCCUCCACUCAUUUUCCUACUACACCAUUUUUUCCAAAUCUAAUCUUAUAUUUCUAAUUAAAUUAAGUUUUCCUCGCCUAUCCAUCUCCCCUUCGAAUCACCCUAGAUCCACCGGGGCUGGACCCCAGCAGAUAUCCCCCUCCAUCUCUUUAAUUUCCAUUUCAGAUCUCUGUCAUUUUAACUGUAUAUAUUGUCAUAGUGGCUCCAUGUACAUUUUGUGGUACAAAGUGAACACACACUGAGGAUUCUAAUUUUUGUGAAUUUUACAAAAGUUCAUGUCUAACCUCCUCAUUAAAUAACUGAGAAAACAUAUACCUAAAGAAAAGAUGUCUCAGGGCAUGUGCUGAGGAGUCGGAUAGGUGCGUCAUAUGGUAGUUCUAUUUAUCAGUAUUUUAAGGAACUGCCAUACCAUUCUCCAUAGUGGCUGUAUCAAGCAUUCCCACCAGUAGUGCAGGAGGGCUCCAUUUCCUCCACAUGCUCUCCAGCAUUUCCUGUUUGUAGAUUUUCUUCAUGAUGGUCAUUCUGACGGGUGUGUUAGCUUGGACAUAAGUACACAACCAUAUGUAAAAUGGAUAGCUAGUGGGAAGCUACUAUACAGCACAGAGAACUGAGCUCAGUGCUCUGUGAUGACCUAGAAGAGUCUGAUGAGGAGGGGGGCAGGCAGGAGGCCCAGGAAGGAGGGGAUACAUAUAUAUACUUAUAGCUGAUCCACUUCAUUGUACAGCAGAAGCUAACACAAUAUUGUAAAAUAAUUAUACUCUCAUGAAAAGUCUCAUUUUAAGAGACAGUGAUGCACUAUGGAUAAAACCCCAAACCAGCUAAGGGGAAUGAUUUCUAAUCCAGCAGCUUUCACCCACCCCCUUCUCUGCCUUAUCUCACCUCCAAAAAGUUUUAGUCAAUAUUUCUAAAGUCUUCUGCUUCUUCCACAGCCUCUAUGUUUUGCUUUUAUAUUUUGUGGUAGAGCACUGACUAAAAUCAGUUCUCUGGAUUUUUAUAUCAGAGAUCCAUUACUAAAGGAAUUUGGAGAAGGGGACUUAACUCUUCCCCAUCAUUGCAAAGUUCUUUUCAUUUUAAUUUUAUCCCUGCUUUUUUUUUAAAUUAAAUUUUAUUAUAGUGUAAUCACUUUAAAAUGUUGUGUUAGUUUCUCAGUUCAGUUCAGUUGCUCAGCCAUGUCUGACUCUUUGCAUACCCAUGGACUUCAGCACACCAGGCUUCCCUGUCCAUCACCAACUCCCGGAUUUUACUCAAACUCAUGUCCAUCGAGUCAGUGAUGCCAUCCAACCAUUUCAUCCUCUGUCGUUCCCUUGUCCUCCUGCUUCAAUCUUUCCCAGCAUCAUGGUUUUUUUCAGUGAAUCAGUUCUUCAUAUCAGAUAGCCAAAGUAUUGUGACUAUCAUCUUCAGCAACAGUCCUUCCAGUGAAUUUUCAGAACUGAUUACCUUUAGAACUGACUGAUUUGACCUUGCAGUCCAAGGGACUAUCAAGAAUCUUCAACGACACCACAGUUUGUGCACUUAGAUGACCCAGAGGGAUGGUACGAGGAGGGAGGAGGGAGGGGGGGUUCAGGAUGGGGAACACGUGUAUACCUGUGGCGGAUACAUGUUGAUGUAUGGCAAAACCAAUACAUUAUUGUAAUGUAAUUAACCUCCAAUGAAAAUAAAACCACACCAAUUCUUCACUGCUCAGCUUUCUUUAUAGCCAGCUGUCACAUCCAUACAUAACUACUGGAAAAACCAUAGCUUUGACUAGACAGACUUUCAUUGGCAAAGUAACAUCUCUGCUUUUUCAUAUUCUUUUAAGGUUCAUCAUAGCUUUUCCUCCAAGGAGCAUGAGUCUUUUAAUUUCAUGGCUGCAGCCAUCAUCUGCAGUAAUUUG